GGGAGUGUAGCUCAGUAGUAGGGCACUUGCCUCCCACGUGUGAGGCCCUGGGUUCAAUUCUCAGUACCA
rnacentral:tRNA from 1 species